GACGAACGCUGGCGGCGUGCUUAACACAUGCAAGUCGAACGGAAAGGCCCUGCUUUUGUGGGGUGCUCGAGUGGCGAACGGGUGAGUAACACGUGAGUAACCUGCCCUUGACUUUGGGAUAACUUCAGGAAACUGGGGCUAAUACCGGAUAGGAGCUCCUGCUGCAUGGUGGGGGUUGGAAAGUUUCGGCGGUUGGGGAUGGACUCGCGGCUUAUCAGCUUGUUGGUGGGGUAGUGGCUUACCAAGGCUUUGACGGGUAGCCGGCCUGAGGGGGUGACCGGCCACAUUGGGACUGAGAUACGGCCCAGACUCCUACGGGAGGCAGCAGUGGGGAAUAUUGCACAAUGGGCGGAAGCCUGAUGCAGCAACGCCGCGUGCGGGAUGACGGCCUUCGGGUUGUAAACCGCUUUCGCCUGUGACAAAGCGUGAGUGACGGUAAUGGGUAAAGAAGCACCGGCUAACUACGUG
rnacentral:rRNA from 1 species